rnacentral:rRNA from 1 species
UACGAGGGGGGCAAAUGUUGUUCGGAAUCAUUGGGCGUAAAGGGUGCGUAGGCGGGUCUUUAAGUCAGGGGUGAAAUCCUGGAGCUCAACUCCAGAACUGCCUUUGAUACUGAGGAUCUUGAGUACGGGAGAGGUGAGUGGAACUGCGAGUGUAGAGGUGAAAUUCGUAGAUAUUCGCAAGAACACCAGUGGCGAAGGCGGCUCACUGGCCCGUUACUGACGCUGAGGAGCGAAAGCAUGGGGAGCGAACAGG